GAUGAACGCUGGCGGCGUGCCUAAUACAUGCAAGUCGAGCGAACAGACGAGGAGCUUGCUCCUCUGACGUUAGCGGCGGACGGGUGAGUAACACGUGGAUAACCUACCUAUAAGACUGGGAUAACUUCGGGAAACCGGAGCUAAUACCGGAUAAUAUAUUGAACCGCAUGGUUCAAUAGUGAAAGACGGUUUUGCUGUCACUUAUAGAUGGAUCCGCGCCGCAUUAGCUAGUUGGUAAGGUAACGGCUUACCAAGGCAGCGAUGCGUAGCCGACCUGAGAGGGUGAUCGGCCACAAUGGAACUGAGACACGGUCCAGACUCCUACGGGAGGCAGCAGUAGGGAAUCUUCCGCAAUGGGCGAAAGCCUGACGGAGCAACGCCGCGUGAGUGAUGAAGGUCUUCGGAUCGUAAAACUCUGUUAUUAGGGAAGAACAAAUGUGUAAGUAACUAUGCACGUCUUGACGGUACCUAAUCAGAAAGCCACGGCUAACUACGUG
rnacentral:rRNA from 1 species